ACGCUGACAGAAUGCUUAACACAUGCAAGUCAACUUGAAUUUGAGUUUUUAACUUAGAUUUGGGUGGCGGACGGGUGAGUAACGCGUAAAGAACUUGCCUCACAGCUAGGGACAACAUUUAGAAAUGAAUGCUAAUACCUGAUAUUAUGAUUUUAAGGCAUCUUAGAAUUAUGAAAGCUAUAAACACUGUGAGAGAGCUUUGCGUCCCAUUAGCUAGUUGGAGAGGUAACAGCUCACCAAGGCGAUGAUGGGUAGCCGGCCUGAGAGGGUGAACGGCCACAAGGGGACUGAGACACGGCCCUUACUCCUACGGGAGGCAGCAGUGGGGAAUAUUGGACAAUGGACCGAGAGUCUGAUCCAGCAAUUCUGUGUGCACGAUGAAGUUUUUCGGAAUGUAAAGUGCUUUCAGUUGGGAAGAAAAAAAUGACGGUACCAACAGAAGAAGUGACGGCUAAAUACGUGCCAGCAGCCGCGGUAAUACGUAUGUCACGAGCGUUAUCCGGAUUUAUUGGGCGUAAAGCGCGUCUAGGUGGUUAUGUAAGUCUGAUGUGAAAAUGCAGGGCUCAACUCUGUAUUGCGUUGGAAACUGUGUAACUAGAGUACUGGAGAGGUAAGCGGAACUACAAGUGUAGAGGUGAAAUUCGUAGAUAUUUGUAGGAAUGCCGAUGGGGAAGCCAGCUUACUGGACAGAUACUGACGCUAAAGCGCGAAAGCGUGGGUAGCAAACAGGAUUAGAUACCCUGGUAGUCCACGCUGUAAACGAUGAUUACUAGGUGUUGGGGGUCGAACCUCAGCGCCCAAGCAAACGCGAUAAGUAAUCCGCCUGGGGAGUACGUACGCAAGUAUGAAACUCAAAGGAAUUGACGGGGACCCGCACAAGCGGUGGAGCAUGUGGUUUAAUUCGACGCAA
rnacentral:rRNA from 1 species